UAAUUUUUUUAUUUUUUUAUUUUGUUUUAUUUUUUUAUUUUUAAAUAAAGUAAAACAAAAAUAAUAAGAUAUUUAAAAAAACUUAAUUUUUUUUGAUAAUAAAUUUAAAAAAAACUCGACUUUUUAAGUAUUAGCAAAGGAACCUAAGAGAGAGAAAAGUGGGAAUGGAGGCAAGUCACAACAUUUGGAUAGGGUCUGGUCCCCGAAGUGUGGAAUUUCAAAUUUCAUAAAUGUAAUGUUUGGUUGAGUUUUCAAAAUUAAUUUUGUAGAAUAUUUUUUUUAAAAUUAUUUUUGAAAAAAUAAUAUUCAUCAUUUUUGUAUAUUAUUUAUUUUUAUAAAUAAUAUUUUUUUAAAUUCUAAAAAUUCAUAUUUUUCAAAAAUAAUUUUUGAGCAAAGAAGAUAGCGACAAGAGAUAGUUCUUAUCUUUUUCUAGAGAGAGAAAAUAAAAGAGAGAGUGAGAGUCAAUUACUCAUGAGAGUGAAUGUCUACCUUCUUUUAUAGUGCUACUCGACGCAAUUGAGAACGCGCAAUUGUCGUGUCAGUGAGUAGACAAUUGACUCAAUCAUGCCCCUAACCUUGAUUGAUAGCUAGCCCAUCACACCAUAUGUAUUCGGACCCAAGCAUAAGAGUGCUAGAGGAAGCUUUUGGUGUAUGCUAUCCUUUGACUUCGCAGCUCGGCUAAAGGAACUCUGCUAAGAUGACCUUGCUGACCCAGCUAUCGUAUUAGGAUGGCCGAUUGGACUUGGCGUAGAGUACUAGUUUGGUGAUGGCACACGAGAGAGCUCGGCCAAAAGUACAAAUAGAUAUUUUAUCUCCUUAUAGUUUCUCUAAAACAUAUGUGCUAGAGUUUCAAAAAUAUUUUUGAAAUGUUUUUAGAAGCUCCCUUAAAAUUUUAUAAGAGUUUUUUUUUGGUAAUGGAAACGAGUUUUCUGUUUUCAAAUAGAGUUUUCUACUAACUAUUGUUUGAGGGCAUCAAAUUUGAAUAGAUAUUUAAUUCACAGAACCUAUUUUUUGAUGCAUCCAAAAUAAGUUUCAUUGUGGACGGAGUCUUGUCUUACUCAAAAUUUUUCCUGUUUGGUUUAGUUUCAUAUUCAGUUUUGAAAAAUAAUUUUCAAAAAUUUAUUUUCUUCAAGUUUUUUGAUUUUUUUUUUGAGAAUUUCUUAAAAAAUAUUGCUUUUUAAAAAAAUUAUUGUUUUAAUUUUUUUAUUAUAAUUUUUUCCAUUUUAAAAUUACCAUUGAGGACAAAAGAAAACCACUCCGCCUUUUCUUCCACCGCCAUCCACCACUAGGGCUGGCCUCGACAUUUGGGUUGCCCUAGCCCGAUUAAAAUUAGUUUGCCCUCGUACUAUUAAUACAUUACCGAAAGAAAUCAUACAUUAUAAUGAAAAUAAAAUCAGGUACCUUAUAUUUUUAACUUGAAUUAUAUAAAAAAAAUCAAAAUCAAAUGUAGAAUCCCUUUAAUUAUAGUUUAUGGUGCGCUUUAGGAUUAGACAAUCCGAUUCAAAGGUAACCCUCAAUUGAAUUUUUGAAGGCAAUUUUUCAUUAAGUCGUCGUAUUUUAACUUAUCUAGGAACUCAAUUUCAUAGAAGACUUAGUCAAUUCACCACUUAAGCUAUCUUACUGGCAUGGUGUUUAAAAGGUAAGUUAUCACGCUCAACUUAGUAAAACUCAUCUCCGCCAACCACCACUUUCACCGGUAUAAUCAACAAAAUUCGUAAGCAACUCAUACUAUUUGAAAAACCCUCUUUCCAUAAAACUUUUAAAUUAAAGAUGUUCAAUCGCAUUUUGUACUUCUCUCGGCAUAUUUUUUUUAAAUGUCUAAUUUCUUGAAAUACCCAUCCUCAUGAAUAUUUUUUGUUCAUUAUGUUCCAAAAAUUUUUUAAUUUAGUGCGCAAUGCUUCGUCAAUUACCCUUCAUCAGUAGUUCUUGAACCACCACUGCUGCUUUCUCCCACGGUCCCCCUCACAUAUCACCCAUCUCCAGAGACUCCAUCAUCAUUGCUCACACCCUUCGUACAAUUCUUGCCAAUUUAAUAAUCUAGGAUUUUUUUUAAUGAAAAAACUCUGUAGAGGGUUGAAUUAAGGCAUUAGUUAGAUUUUGAUUACAUUUUAUCUAUCUAUCUAUCUAUCUAUCUUGUCAGGCUUUAUCCAUUUUUCUUCUUAAAAUUGUUAAAGAGAUAGGAACAUAAGUGACACUUCAGAGGGACUAUAAUAAGGUGAUAUGAAACAUUUAACAAAAUAUAUAUAUAUAUAUAUGUGUAUGCGCGCGCCAGCAUAUACCAUAUAGAUAAGCGUAUAUAUAAAGGUGUAUACAAAAUUGAAAAUGCCAAUAGCACAAAUUCACACAUGAACCCAGCAGCAUCAAUGGUUGGGAUUUUUGUAAUUGCUGCAUGUUUCUCAACAAUUGAUGUAGGUUAUGUAGUUGAUAGGGUUUCCAAUUUGUUUUUAUACAUGGGGACACAGCUUCUCUGAAUAUCAAUGUUUUGGAUUGUACUGUGCAAUCCAAAACAUUGAUAUUCAGAGAAGCUGUGGCCCCAUGUAGAAAAACAAAUUGGAAACUCGGGUCAACUACAUAACCUGCAAUCCAAACCUUUGAAAUAUUUUUUGAAUCUAUUUUGAUAAUUCAAAUUGUUCAUAUUAUAGAUUCCGUCGUAAAGAUCAAUCUUCUAAAAAAUUAUGUUAAUCGAAUACAUGGGGACACAACUUCUCUGAAUAUCAAUGUUUUGGAUUGUACUGUGCCAUCCAAACAUUUAAACUUCAUUUUGAAUCUAUUUUGAUAAUCUAAACUGUUCAUAUUAUAGACUCCGUCGUAAAGAUCAAUCUUUUAAAAAAUUAUGUUAAUCGAAUACAAAAUGUUAUCCAUUAAGUAAUAUUUUUAUAAUUUAAUAAAUGAGUUUGACACACAAUAUUAUAUCAAUUUAUCUUUAUGUAAAUUGAUAUUGAUCUUGACCUAUACCCAAUCAACAUGAUUUUUUAAUGUAUUAAAUUCUUAAUGAGAUAUAACAUAUGAACGAUAUAAAUAUUUAAAAUAGGCUCAAAACGAGACCCAAAAUAUUUGGAGUAAGCCAAUGUUUUCCAAAAUUGGAUUGCGUAGAAACGUGGUCCAAUACAUGGUGUGUGUGAGUAAGAGAGAGGAGGAGGAGAGAUGGUAGGGGCGGGAGUUGCCUGGAAGUGGGAAUGAGGUGGGUUACUGUGGGUAUGAAAAAUAGGGUUAGUUUUGGCAUAUUGAUAGGCAAAUUGCUCCUCCCCAGACGCCUCCCUUGUCAGACCCCUUGUCCCCUUGUAAAAGUAUAAUUAUGUCCCCUCUCACUUCUCUCUCUCUCCACACUUCUCUCUCUAGUUUUUUUUUUUCAGUUUUUUUUUUUAGUUUUUUUUUCAUUAAUUUUGGUACAAAAAGUUGUUAAUCUUUUUACAGAUCACAAUUUUGCACUUCUCUGAUUUUUGACGAGAGAAAUUGAAAUUAUAAAAAAUUUUAUGUUAUAUUUUAACUUGAUAAAUUAGCUAAAUUCUUUUUUUUUUUUCCUUAGUGAUUUUUUAUUUAAACUGCCAUCAAGAUUUUUUUAUUUUUAAAAAAAAGUAUAAAUUUUAAUUAAACGGUGUAAAAGUUACUAAAAAAUAUUUGAAAAAAUUCAAAAAUUUAACAAUACUAAAGUCUCAUACAAGAAAAAAACUAGGCAACUUGGCCCAAUUUUCACUGGGAACAGCCGCCAAUAAAAAGAUUUUGAUCUAACAUUUGUAUAUGAUGUUCCGAAAAACUGAUUUACAUUGCGUUUGAAAUCGAUGAAAUUAUCUAAACCUCCUCAUUUAUAACAUUGGGGGGGGGGGGGGGGGGGGGGGGGGUACAUUAAGACGUAAAAUGAAUCCACAAUUGGCUUACUGUACAGUUUCGAAACUGGAAGAAUAAUUAGAUGGCGAACAAAAAUUUAAAAAUUUAUAAAAAAAUAGUUACGUAUGUUAAAAAUUCUGGAAAAUUUUAUAUGUUUAGAAAUUUAUAUGUUCAAUUAUUGUGUAUUUAAUUUCACGAAUUGAUGUAAUUAUGUGACAUCCAAAAUAAUUGUACACCUACCUACUGUCAGUAAUCAUGUUUGUCAGAACUGAAGAAUUCGACUAAUUUAUAAAAUAAGUUAAAUGAUAUACUCAUGUAUAAUAUUUUUUUUACUAUAGACCACAACAUAUAUAUGUCAGUAUAUAUGUAAAACUUUUGGAGUCAAAUUAAUUUUAAAUGAUUUUAAUAAAAUAUCACCGAAUCUGUUUUAAAAUGUUAAAACUGUUUGGCCAAAAAAAGAAAGAAAUAUUCAAAUUAUAUUAAAUUUUUAUAAUUAUGACAUUUUAAGAAUAUUAAAUCUAUCGAUUCGAAUAUCAAACGUAGACCCCGAAUUCCCAAAAACGUUAGCUCCGAUGUUUAAAAGAUUUGAGCAUAUUCUUGGUGAGUCCUUGUAGUCGUACAUGCAUAAAAGUAAACUGUUUUAUGUUCUGAAAGCAUGGCUUGUGGUUUUAAACUUGAUGACUGAUAAUGUUUUUUAAUUAAAAGCAGGCUUUGUUUUGUUAUACCAUGAAAUUAUGAACAUGAUAUUUGUGAAAUGUAAUGUUUUAAGUCGCACAUAGUUCCAUACGAUGCCCCGUUCGCUAAGGGGGAGAAUAUAGCGUGGUUGAUUAAUAAGGAGAUCAUGACCAAUGAUUGUGGGAUGAAUUCAUACAAAUGUUUUUAUGGUCUCUCCCUAUAUUCUGGUGUUCGUUGAACGUUUAGGUGUGUCGCAAUUGUCAAUCGAAAUGAAUGUAAAAUUUGAUGUAAUAGUUGGCGUCCUGAGCCAUGAUCCCCGUGAGGGAUUGAAUUUUCUAUUGUAAUCUUGACUGAUAGUCAAGGGAUGGCCUAGUUGAGCCAUGGAUUGACAAAAAGUGGUUUCAUUUUCUAUGUUUUGAAUGAACCUGAUUUUUAUAUAUUUUCAUGGGUGAUGUAUGUUUUAUAGUAUACAGUGGACAAAAGAAGGGAGUCCCCUUCCU
rnacentral:lncRNA from 1 species